UCAACAUGCAUUUGUCGGGAAGAUUUCAAAUAACUUCUGAGCAAUUCAAUUAAUUCAGUGUUCACGUGCUCGCUAUAUACAGAGAGCUUUAAAUUAUUACAUAUUGUUUGUUUGAGAUAUAAUAACAAGACCACAGGUCGUGAUAGAAAUCUCGGCUGCAACUUAUCGGAGCUUAUGCGAUACGCUAACAGGGUCUUAUGAAAGAUUUAAACCAAUUUCAGUCAACUUUAGACCAGUUAUAUACGAACAACACUGCUUCGAGUCAGGCCUUGGAGCGAUACAUCACGCGUGGACUCAACGGAAGGACCAUCUGAGACGUAGCCACGGCCAACAUUUGAAAGAGAUAAUUUUCAAAGUAUAAAUGCCAAAGAAUGUUCUUAUGAUGACAAUGAAUGACAAUAAGCAUUCGCCAUUAAAUUUGAAGUUUAUGCGCUUCUUCUUGAAAAAAGUAUUAAACAUCGAAAUCGAUCACCCUUUAGUUGUGUGCAACAAAAUCGUGGUUUAAAAUCUCUCCACUGUGUUAUUUAUCUAAAACAUAAGUGGUUAAAGAAAAGGUUUGGAACUCUCCUUUUAUUUCAUUACCUUUUUGGAUAGGUAGUGUAAAUCAAUAAAACAUUCAGCUGUAUGUAUGACAUAGUAUAUACACAUCAAGUCUUCACACGAUCGACCAUUGGUGAAUAUCAACAAUAAUGGCCACAAACUGUAGUCCAAUAGAUUCAAAACUGAACUUGCUGGCAACAACAGUCAACUGAGGCUAUAAAACCAGAGAUUUUGCUUUAAAGCCAUUGCUGGGUGGUUUUUUACUUUCAAUGCCUUCCAACGAACAGAGUGUUACUAACUGCUUUAAAACGCCUUCUAAACACUUUGCUGUUACAUGUUUUCCCCUUUUCCAGUUGUAGUUGUAGACUAGAUAACAAAAUAUCUGGCAAGACUAAGUUUCGGGACGAUGGACAUAGGAACCGAUUUUAGCCAUGAAAACUUAAUUUCCUUGAACUACCGCACAAAUUAAUCGUCAUUUUUAGUACAAAGGUAGGUACCGGCACGGAGGUAUUCAUAUCUGAUACUUGGGCCUAGAAAAGUUUUUGAUCGAGUUAAGCGUUGAGUUAAGGUUUCAACACUUUUUUAUUAUCUCUGAAGCAUUUUCCACACCACUCAUGUUUUCAAAAUCUUGCCUUUUCAUAACUUCAAAAUGACUGCAUCGGUCAUUUUGAAAUUUUGUACAAUAUUUCUGUAAUCAAGAGGUUAGGCCGGCGAGUUGUUUUCCCAUUUGUUAAAAACAUUUUCAUUUUACAGUACUUUUACUACAUAUUUCUCUUCUUUUAGCGUGUCCAAAAAUAGUGUAAAUAAAAAAAAUUAU
rnacentral:misc_RNA from 1 species